rnacentral:rRNA from 1 species
UACGGAGGGUGCAAGCGUUAUCCGGAUUCACUGGGUUUAAAGGGUGCGUAGGUGGGCAAGUAAGUCAGUGGUGAAAUCUCCGGGCUUAACCCGGAAACUGCCAUUGAUACUAUUUGUCUUGAAUACUGUGGAGGUCAGCGGAAUAUGUCAUGUAGCGGUGAAAUGCUUAGAGAUGACAUAGAACACCUAUUGCGAAGGCAGCUUACUACGCCUAUAUUGACGCUGAGGCACGAAAGCGUGGGGAUCAAACAGG